AUUUAAAUAAUUUAAUAUAAAAUAUUGAUUUGUGGUAUCAAAAAUAUGAUAAUUUUAAUCAUUUUAAAUU
rnacentral:tRNA from 1 species